rnacentral:pre_miRNA from 1 species
GGCUUCUGGCAUGGGGCAAGACUUGCUCCAGUGGGGCUUUGGUGCUCACUGAGUCUGCCCCCUGAGUGUGUCCCU